rnacentral:rRNA from 1 species
CCUACGGGUGGCUGCAGUGAGGAAUAUUGGUCAAUGGACGAGAGUCUGAACCAGCCAAGUAGCGUGAAGGAUGACUGCCCUAUGGGUUGUAAACUUCUUUUAUAUGGGAAUAAAACGUUCAACGUGUGGGAUUUUGUAUGUACCAUAUGAAUAAGGAUCGGCUAACUCCGUGCCAGCAGCCGCGGUAAUAAGGAGGAUCCGAGCGUUAUCCGGAUUUAUUGGGGUUAAAGGGAGCGUAGGUGGAUUGUUAAGUCAGUUGUGAAAGUUUGCUGCUCAACCGUAAAAUUGCAGUUGAAACUGGCAGUCUUGAGUACAGUAGAGGUGGGCGGAAUUCGUGGUGUAGCGGUGAAAUGCUUAGAUAUCACGAAGAACUCCGAUUGCGAAGGCAGUUCACUGGACUGCAACUGACACUGAGGCUCGAAAGUGUGGGUAUCAAACAGGAUUAGAUACCCGUGUAGUC